rnacentral:lncRNA from 1 species
CUUUCUUAGCUGUUGCCUGAGCCACCUGGCAGGCGGCCCGGGCUAUCUCAGUAUCCCUAGUGUUUUCCCUGGCUGGCCUCUGCCUCCUGGCCUGGGGCUGACUAAGCUUCCCACACACAGGCCAGGGCUGCCUCGCCUGUCUGUGCGUCAUGGAGAAUUCAACAGUGGCGACCCCAUCAUCAGAACUCCCCAAAUUCUGGGAAGUUCAGAGCCCUCGGCCUGCAGCCCGGGAGGCCUCGUGCCCAGACGCCAUGCACCCUCCGGUGACCAGCUGCCACCUGUCCAUCCUCCAAGACCGGAAAGGCAGCAGCAGCCCCUGGGAGCCCAGGGCUGUCCUUGGUGCAUCCAGCUGCAGAGGGAAAUUGAUGACCUUACACAGCAACUAGUGCCCGGUUCUGCCUCUCUGUUUCAGCGGCCAUGCAGUCCUUCACUGACAAGUUCCAGGACCUUUGAAGUUGGAGCCAGCGUCCGGAGCUGCAGCCAAGCGAGUUUCCUCCUUAUCCUCCUUAGC